AUGGCUCUAACGCUCUUACGAGGGAUCAGAACACAAACCUUAUCUGGAGCAAAUGCAGGGCUGUUCUGUACCACUCGACGUCCUCCGCUAGCCCACUUCACAGCUAGGGUGGAGAGUGUGCAGACUAGUGAGCCCAAAUCAGUGCACAAAUCAAUUCAACAGGCUACCAAGGAGGCAGUGGAGCAGAAGACACACGGUUUUGAAGCGGUGAUCGGCAUUGAGACCCAUGUUCAGCUCUCAACCAUCACAAAGGCAUUUUGCUCCUGCCCAUACGACUAUGGCUCCCAGCCAAACAGCACCGUUUGCCCCACCUGCAUGGGCCACCCCGGGACAUUGCCGGUUCUGAACGCAAAGGUUGUUGAAUGUGCUGUCAAGCUAGGCCUCGCUCUCAACUGUGAGAUUUCCAUGACAUCCAAGUUUGACAGAAAGCAGUACUUCUACCCAGAUCUGCCCAAGGGAUACCAGAUUUCGCAGUUUGACAUUCCGAUUGCUGAGAAGGGUUACCUUGAUUUGGAUAUUCCAAUGGAGUUUGGUGGUGGUCACAGGCGAUUUGGGGUCACGCGGGUUCAUAUGGAAGAAGAUGCUGGCAAGCUGCUUCACUCUGAAUCUGGGAGUUUUUCUCAGGUUGACCUAAAUAGAGCCGGCGUCCCUUUGCUAGAGAUUGUCUCAGAGCCAGAUAUGAGGACAGGCAUAGAGGCUGCUGAGUAUGGUGCUGAGAUACAAAGGGUUGUUAGAUACCUGGGUGUGGGCAAUGGCAACAUGCAGGAAGGUUCCCUCCGCUGUGAUGUCAAUGUAUCUGUCCGGCCCAUUGGACAAUCAGAAUUCGGUACAAAGGUUGAAAUAAAGAAUAUGAACUCAUUUUCUGAAAUAAGUAGGGCAAUAGAUUAUGAGAUAUCCCGACAGAUUCUUCUUCACAAAGAAAGCCAGGCUGACAAAAUUGUACAGGAAACCCGUCUAUGGGAUGAAUCUUCUCAGAAAACUUUUACAAUGCGGAAAAAGGAGGGACUUGCCGACUACAGAUAUUUUCCUGAGCCUGAUCUUCCUGAAGUUGUUCUGACUAGUGAGUACGUUGAUGAAAUUCGUAAUUCAAUGCCGGAGCUUCCAGAGGCAAAGCGUAGGCGUUAUGAGAACAUGGGGCUCAGCAUGCAAGAUGUUAUUUUCCUUGCUAAUGAUGAUAUUGUUGCUCAUUUCUUUGAUUCUACACUUGAGCGUGGUGCUGAUGCAAAGCUAGCUGCUAAUUGGAUCAUGGGUGACAUUACGGCUUAUCUGAAGAAUGAAAAGCUCUCUAUUGAUGAAAUUAAAUUAACACCUCUUGAGCUUUCUGAACUGAUUGCAUUCAUAAAGAAUGGUACUAUCAGUGGGAAGAUUGGCAAGGAGAUUCUUGUUGAGCUCAUUACCAAAGGCGGAACUGUCAAGUCGGUGAUAGAGGAGAAAGAUUUGGUUCAGAUAGCAGAUCCAGCAGCAAUUGAGGCCAUGGUAGAUAAAGUACUCGCCGAGAAUCCGAAGCAACUUGAGCAGUAUCGGGCUGGGAAAACCAAGUUGCAGGGAUUUUUUGCUGGCCAGGUGAUGAAAGCAUCGAAAGGUAAAGCAAGUCCUGUUUUAUUGAACAAAAUCCUCGGGGAGAAGUUGAAGGGCAAUUAA
rnacentral:rRNA from 1 species